rnacentral:rRNA from 1 species
GAGACAGCAGCCGCCGCGGGAAUACGUAGGUGGCAAGCGUUGUCCGGAAUUAUUGGGCGUAAAGGGUACGUAGGUGGCCUUUUAAGCGUAGGGUAUAAGGCAAUGGCUCAACCAUUGUUCGCCCUAUGAACUGGAAGGCUUGAGUGCAGGAGAGGAAAGCGGAAUUCCUAGUGUAGCGGUGGAAUGCAUAGAUAUUAGGAGGAACAUCAGCGGCGAAGGCGGCUUUCUGGACUGCAACUGACACUGAGGUACGAAAGCGUGGGGAGCAAACAGGAUUAGAUACCCCGGUAGUCCCUGUCUCUUAUACA